GAGAGAAGUUGUUAAGUCUGCUACUUGGGGAGUACGUCCGCAAGGAUGAAACUUAAAGGAAUUGGCGGGGGAGCACCGCAACGGGAGGAGCGUGCGGUUUAAUUGGAUUCAACACCGGAAAACUCACCAAGGGAGACCAUCACAUGAAAGCCAGGCUAAUGACUUUGCUUGAUUCUUGGAGAAGUGGUGCAUGGCCAUCGUCAGUUCGUACUGUAAAGCGUUCUCUUAAGUGAGAUAACGAACAAGACCCUCACUUAUAAUUGCUACUCGUCUGUCCGCAGACGAGGCACAUUAUCGGGACCGCUGGCGCUAAGUCAGAGGAAGGAGAGGUCAACGGUAGGUCAGUAUGCCCUGAAUCUCUUGGGCUACACGCGCGCUACAAAGGGCGGGACAAUGGGUCCCUACACCGAAAGGUGGAGGCAAUCUCGAAACCCGUCCGUAGUUCGGACUGAGGGUUGUAACUCACCCUCACGAAGCUGGAUUCCGUAGUAAUCGCGAAUCAACAACUCGCGGUGAAUAUGCCCCUGCUCCUUGCACACACCGCCCGUCAAACCACCCGAGUCGGGUUUCAGUGAGGUUACCUUUAAUUGGGGUAUUCGAACUGAGAUUCAGCAAGGGAGGUUAAGUCGUAACAAGGUAUCUGUAGGGGAACCUGCAGAUG
rnacentral:rRNA from 1 species